rfam:Schistosoma rodhaini strain Burundi genome assembly, scaffold: SROB_scaffold0008705
AUCCAGCUAACGAGUCCUAAAUAGGAUGAAACGUGCGUCCUGGAU